rnacentral:lncRNA from 1 species
GGGAUAAUGAUUCAGCGCACUAAAAGAUAAUGGAUGGGGUUCAAUAUUCAUGAAAAGCCAAGUUUGAAAUGAUCCAUGUUACGGAACCAAGACAACCUAUAUUACUAAUAAAAGGGUUAAGGGCCUCCAACGCCUAUAAAUAGAAGCUUUUUUCAGCCUCUAUUUGGCAAAGGUCGCCUGGGUUUUUUUAUUGCAUGAAAAAAAGAGGAAGCAUAGACAAGAGCAAGAGCAACGGGUUACUCGGUUAAAGCAAUAGAGGCAUAAAUCAAGCUAGCAGCAGACCUCG